GCUGGCGGCGUGCCUAAUACAUGCAAGUCGAGCGAACAGAUGAGAAGCUUGCUUCUCUGAUGUUAGCGGCGGACGGGUGAGUAACACGUGGGUAACCUACCUAUAAGACUGGGAUAACUCCGGGAAACCGGGGCUAAUACCGGAUAAUAUUUUGAACCGCAUGGUUCAAUAGUGAAAGACGGUUUCGGCUGUCACUUAUAGAUGGACCCGCGCCGUAUUAGCUAGUUGGUAAGGUAACGGCUUACCAAGGCGACGAUACGUAGCCGACCUGAGAGGGUGAUCGGCCACACUGGAACUGAGACACGGUCCAGACUCCUACGGGAGGCAGCAGUAGGGAAUCUUCCGCAAUGGGCGAAAGCCUGACGGAGCAACGCCGCGUGAGUGAUGAAGGUCUUCGGAUCGUAAAACUCUGUUGUUAGGGAAGAACAAAUUUGUUAGUAACUGAACAAGUCUGA
rnacentral:rRNA from 2 species